GUUUAGUCUAGUGGUAUGAUUCUCGCUUUGGGUGCGAGAGGUCCCGGGUUCAAUUCCCGGAACGGCCC
rnacentral:tRNA from 1 species